CGAGGAAUAUUGCACAAUGGGCGCAAGCCUGAUGCAGCAACGCCGCGUGCGGGACGAGGGCCUUCGGGUCGUAAACCGCUUUUCUGGGGAAAGAGCAAGGACGGUACCUCAGGAAUAAGUCUCGGCUAACUACGUGCCAGCAGCCGCGGUAAAACGUAGGAGGCGAGCGUUAUCCGGAUUUACUGGGCGUAAAGCGCACGCAGGCGGCUCUGUGAGUCGGACGUGAAAGCUCCCGGCUUAACCGGGAGAGGCCGUUCGAUACUGCGGGGCUUGAGGUAGGGAGAGGAAUGCGGAAUUCCCGGUGUAGUGGUGGAAUGCGUAGAUAUCGGGAGGAACGCCUGUGGCGAAAGCGGCAUUCUGGCCCCCACCUGACGCUGAGGUGCGAAAGCGUGGGUAGCAAACAG
rnacentral:rRNA from 1 species